rnacentral:rRNA from 1 species
UGGGGAAUAUUGCACAAUGGGCGCAAGCCUGAUGCAGCCAUGCCGCGUGUAUGAAGAAGGCCUUCGGGUUGUAAAGUACUUUCAGUCGGGAGGAAGGUGGUAAGGUUAAUAACCUUAUCAAUUGACGUUACCGACAGAAGAAGCACCGGCUAACUCCGUGCCAGCAGCCGCGGUAAUACGGAGGGUGCAAGCGUUAAUCGGAAUUACUGGGCGUAAAGCGCACGCAGGCGGUUGAUUGAGUCAGAUGUGAAAUCCCCGGGCUUAACCCGGGAAUUGCAUCUGAUAAUUGUCAGCUAGAGUCUUGUAGAGGGGGGUAGAAUUCCAUGUGUAGCGGUGAAAUGCGUAGGGAUGUGGAGGAAUACCGGUGGCGAAGGCGGCCCCCUGGACAAAGACUGAAGCUCAGGUGCGAAAGCGUGGGGAGCAAACAGG